UACGUAGGGUGCAAGCGUUGUCCGGAUUUACUGGGCGUAAAGCGCGCGCAGGCGGUCCGGUAAGUCUCCGGUGAAAUCGCCCGGCUCAACUGGGCGGGUGCCGGGGAGACUGGCGGACUUGAGGAGCCUAGAGGCCGGUGGAACUCCCGGUGUAGUGGUGAAAUGCGUAGAGAUCGGGAAGAACACCAGUGGCGAAGGCGGCCGGCUGGGGGUGUCCUGACGCUGAGGCGCGAGAGCGUGGGGAGCAAACCGG
rnacentral:rRNA from 1 species